rnacentral:tRNA from 1 species
GGGGGUAUAGCUCAGUGGAAGAGCACUUGCCUAGCAUGCACAAAGCCCGGGGUCCAAUCUCCAGUAUCACCA